GAUGAACGCUGGCGGCGUGCCUAAUACAUGCAAGUCGAGCGAACAGACGAGGAGCUUGCUCCUCUGACGUUAGCGGCGGACGGGUGAGUAACACGUGGAUAACCUACCUAUAAGACUGGGAUAACUUCGGGAAACCGGAGCUAAUACCGGAUAAUAUAUUGAACCGCAUGGUUCAAUAGUGAAAGACGGUUUUGCUGUCACUUAUAGAUGGUUCCGCGCCGCAUUAGCUAGUUGGUAAGGUAACGGCUUACCAAGGCGACGAUGCGUAGCCGACCUGAGAGGGUGAUCGGCCACACUGGAACUGAGACACGGUCCAGACUCCUACGGGAGGCAGCAGUAGGGAAUCUUCCGCAAUGGGCGAAAGCUUGACGGAGCAACGCCGCGUGAGUGAUGAAGGUCUUCGGAUCGUAAAACUCUGUUAUUAGGGAAGAACAAAUGUGUAAGUAACUAUGCACGUCUUGACGGUACCUAAUCAGAAAGCCACGGCUAACUACGUG
rnacentral:rRNA from 1 species